GACGAACGCUGGCGGCGUGCUUAACACAUGCAAGUCGAACGGAAAGGCCCUGCUUUUGUGGGGUGCUCGAGUGGCGAACGGGCGAGUAACACGUGAGUAACCUGCCCUUGACUUUGGGAUAACUUCAGGAAACUGGGGCUAAUACCGGAUAGGAGCUCCUGCUGCAUGGUGGGGGUUGGAAAGUUUCGGCGGUUGGGGAUGGACUCGCGGCUUAUCAGCUUGUUGGUGGGGUAGUGGCUUACCAAGGCUUUGACGGGUAGCCGGCCUGAGAGGGUGACCGGCCACAUUGGGACUGAGAUACGGCCCAGACUCGUACGGGAGGCAGCAGUGGGGAAUAUUGCACAAUGGGCGGAAGCCUGAUGCAGCAACGCCGCGUGCGGGAUGACGGCCUUCGGGUUGUAAACCGCUUUCGCCUGUGACGAAGCGUGAGUGACGGUAAUGGGUAAAGAAGCACCGGCUAACUACGUG
rnacentral:rRNA from 1 species